rnacentral:lncRNA from 1 species
UUUCCCACCAGUAUAAAAUUUGAAUUACAUGGAUUAAGAAAGAGGAAUUUAUUACGAAUAGGUUGACCUUCUUCUUCUUUUUUUGGUCAUACAGGUUGAGCUUCUUAAUUUGCAACUUGCUGGUCUUAAGUCAGUCCUCUAGGCCACGGAGUCAAGUCCUGCGCUUUUAGAAUACAGACUUUUCGUUAUAUGAUUAUUCUAUGUAAGAUUUGUCGAGUAAUAACUAUUGGCAUUGACUCAGAUCGGCAAUGGAAGAAAAAGCAGCACAACAAAUAUCUUUUUUUUUUCUUCUUAAUGACAAAUAUCUUUCUUUCUUUUUGAGAAAAAAUGACAAAUAUCUUUGAUCAGAAAAAAUG